AGCGAACGCUGGCGGCGUACUUAACACAUGCAAGUCGAACGGGGAUCGUGGGGUGGGCAACCAUUCCGCGGUUCUAGUGGCGUACGGGUGAGUAACACAUGGGUAACCUGCCCUCGAGCCUGGGAUACCCCCUCGAAAGGGGGGCGUAAUACCGGAUACGCUCCUCGGGUCGCGAGAUCAGAGGAGGAAAGGUAGGCGCAAGCUGCCGCUCUUGGAGGGGCGUCGCGGCCUAUCAGCUAGUUGGCGAGGUAACGGCUCACCAAGGCGAUGACGGGUAGCUGGUCUGAGAGGACGACCAGCCACACGGGGACUGAGACACGGCCCCGACUCCUACGGGAGGCAGCAGUGGGGAAGUUUUCCGUCAAUGGGCGAAAGCCUGACGGAGUGACGCCGC
rnacentral:rRNA from 1 species